rnacentral:rRNA from 1 species
CUACGGGCCGCUCCAGUGGGGAAUUUUGCGCAAUGGGGGAAACCCUGACGCAGCAACGCCGCGUGCGGGACGACGGCCCUCGGGUUGUAAACCGCUUUCAGCAGGGAAGAAGAUGACGGUACCUGCAGAAGAAGCUCCGGCUAACUACGUGCCAGCAGCCGCGGUAAUACGUAGGGAGCGAGCGUUAUCCGGAUUCAUUGGGCGUAAAGCGCGCGUAGGCGGCGCGGUAAGUCGGGUGUCAAAGCCCGGGGCUCAACCCCGGCCCGCACCCGAAACUGCCGCGGCUUGAGUCUGGCAGGGGAAUGCGGAAUUCCAAGUGUAGCGGUGAAAUGCGCAGAUAUUUGGAAGAACACCGGUGGCGAAGGCGGCAUUCUGGGCCACGACUGACGCCGAGGCGCGAAAGCUAGGGGAGCGAACAGGAUUAGAUACCCCCGUAGUC